CGAUGGGCAACCAUUGGGUAUCAUACAUGAUAUUUUCUUUGCAUCGAUGGUUUUCGAGAUAAAAUCUAAAACCACAAAGAAAUCAAAGACAGUUUAUAAAAGAUUUAGUUACGAUUAGAAAUACACCCUUUAUCUUUAUCCAUGGAUCCUUUAUUUAUACUUAUUAAUUUAGAACUUAUCCAUUUAGAAUAGAAGUAUUGAUCCAAUAAAAAAAAUUAUGUUUCGUAAUCUCAUAAUCCAAUUUUCAACUUUUCAUUGAUUCUUGGAUACAAAUGGAAACCAUAUCAAAGUAAGAUGAAGAGCAGCAAGAAAUGGGCUCUCGACCG
rnacentral:lncRNA from 1 species